AUGGUCACAUCUCGAUGAAACACCAGUUCUCGAACGAUCACUGAAGUCAAACAACCUCGGGCCAGGUUGUUACUUAGAUGGGUGACCGCUUGGGAAUACCAGGUAC